rnacentral:rRNA from 1 species
GAUGAACGCUAACGGCAGGCCUAAUACAUGCAAGUCGAGGGGCAGCGGGAGUAGCAAUACUUGCCGGCGACCGGCGCACGGGUGCGUAACACGUAUACAAUCUGCCCAUAUCAGGGGGAUAGCCCGGAGAAAUCCGGAUUAAUACCCCAUAAUAAUAGGAGAGGCAUCUCUUUUAUUUGAAAGCUCCGGCGGAUAUGGAUGAGUAUGCGUCUGAUUAGCUAGUUGGUACGGUAACGGCGUACCAAGGCGACGAUCAGUAGGGGAUCUGAGAGGACUACCCCCCACACGGAUACUGAGACACGGAUCCGACUCCUACGGGAGGCAGCAGUAAGGAAUAUUGGACAAUGCCCGCAAGGGUGAUCCAGCCAUGCCGCGUGCAGGAAGACGGCCCUAUGGGUUGUAAACUGCUUUUGCACCAGAGAAAACCCCCUUACGUGUAAGGGGCUGAUAGUAUGGUGAGAAUAAGCAUCGGCUAACUUCGUGCCAGCAGCCGCGGUAAGACGAAGGAUGCCAGCGUUAUCCGGAUUCAUGGGGUUUAAAGGGAGCGUAGGCGGUUUAGUAAGUCAGUGGUGAAAGCCGGUCGCUUAACGAUCGAACUGCCAUUGAUACUGCUGAACUUGAGUACAGAUGCUGUGGGCGGAAUAUGACAUGUAGUGGUGAAAUACUUAGAGAUGUCAUAGAACACCGAUUGCGAAGGCAGCUCACAAAACUGUAACUGACGCUGAGGCUCGAAAGUGUGGGGAUCAAACAGGAUUAGAUACCCUGGUAGUCCACACUGUAAACGAUGAUUACUCGCUGUUGGGUAGCAAUACUCAGUGGCUAAGCGAAAGCGAUAAGUAAUCCACCUGGGGAGUACGCCGGCAACGGUGAAACUCAAAGGAAUGGACGGGGGCCCGCACAAGCGGAUG